UGGGGAAUAUUGCACAAUGGGCGCAAGCCUGAUGCAGCCAUGCCGCGUGUGUGAAGAAGGCCUUCGGGUUGUAAAGCACUUUCAGCGAGGAGGAAGGUGGUGAGCUUAAUACGCUCAUCAAUUGACGUUACUCGCAGAAGAAGCACCGGCUAACUCCGUGCCAGCAGCCGCGGUAAUACGGAGGGUGCAAGCGUUAAUCGGAAUUACUGGGCGUAAAGCGCACGCAGGCGGUUUGUUAAGUCAGAUGUGAAAUCCCCGGGCUCAACCUGGGAACUGCAUUUGAAACUGGCAAGCUAGAGUCUCGUAGAGGGGGGUAGAAUUCCAGGUGUAGCGGUGAAAUGCGUAGAGAUCUGGAGGAAUACCGGUGGCGAAGGCGGCCCCCUGGACGAAGACUGACGCUCAGGUGCGAAAGCGUGGGGCAGCAAACAGGAUUAGAUACCCUGGUAGUCCACGCUGUAAAACGAUGUCGAUUUUGGAGGUUGUGCCCCUUGAGGCGUGGCUUCCGGAGCUAACGCGUUAAAUCGACCGCCUGGGGAGUACGGCCGCAAGGUUAAAACUUAAAUGAAUUGAC
rnacentral:rRNA from 1 species